GAUCAUUAUGAACAGACUUUUAAGGGCAACCGGCCAUCACUAAGUUUGCUUCUGCCUACACUAUCCGCAUAUGAGGUUGGACAGCUUUUAUCCAUCUAUGAGCACCGGAUUGCAGUUCAGGGCUUCUUAUGGGGAAUUAACUCAUUUGAUCAGUGGGGAGUGGAGCUAGGGAAGUCACUCGCUUCUCAAGUGAGGAAACAGCUGCAUGGAACCCGGAUGGAAGUUAAGCCUGUUGAGGGUUUUAACCACAUCACUUCAAGUUCGCU